rnacentral:rRNA from 1 species
ACGAACGCUGGCGGCGUGCUUAACACAUGCAAGUCGAACGGAAAGGCCCUGCUUUUGUGGGGUGCUCGAGUGGCGAACGGGUGAGUAACCCGUGAGUAACCUGCCCUUGACUUUGGGAUAACUUCAGGAAACUGGGGCUAAUACCGGAUAGGAGCUCCUGCUGCAUGGUGGGGGUUGGAAAGUUUCGGCGGUUGGGGAUGGACUCGCGGCUUAUCAGCUUGUUGGUGGGGUAGUGGCUUACCAAGGCUUUGACGGGUAGCCGGCCUGAGAGGGUGACCGGCCACAUUGGGACUGAGAUACGGCCCAGACUCCUACGGGAGGCAGCAGUGGGGAAUAUUGCACAAUGGGCGGAAGCCUGAUGCAGCAACGCCGCGUGCGGGAUGACGGCCUUCGGGUUGUAAACCGCUUUCGCCUGUGACGAAGCGUGAGUGACGGUAAUGGGUAAAGAAGCACCGGCUAACUACGUG